GUGCAUCGAUGAAGAACGCAGCGAAAUGCGAUACCUAGUGUGAAUUGCAGAAUCCCGUGAAUCAUCGAGUCUUUGAACGCAAGUUGCGCCCGAGGCUUCGGCCAGAGGGCACGUCUGCCUGGGUGUCGUACGUUAAUCAAACGCCCCGGCCCGUGCUCGGGCUGUGGAGCGGAGUUGGCCGUCCACGCCUACCGUGCCCUGGUCGGCUAAAAUGCAUUGGGCUUCCGUCCCCUCGCACUGGUGAGCGGUGGUUCGGCUGUCGUGCGGCGACCGACCCGCGUGGGCUGGUGCGGUGGACUGGCGGUGCGCCUCUGUAGCCUCGAUGCCCGUCGUCCCGGGGCCCCCUGCCGGCGUACUACGGGCCUCUUCCCCGCGACCCCAGGUCAGGCGAGAGCACCCGCUGAGUUUAAAGCAUAA
rnacentral:rRNA from 1 species